rnacentral:rRNA from 1 species
UACGUAGGGGGCGAGCGUUGUCCGGAAUCAUUGGGCGUAAAGCGCGUGUAGGCGGCCCGGUAAGUCUGCUGUGAAAGUCCAGGGCUCAACCCUGGGAUGCCGGUGGAUACUGUCGGGCUCGAGUCCGGAAGAGGCGAGUGGAAUUCCUGGUGUAGCGGUGAAAUGCGCAGAUAUCAGGAGGAACACCAAUGGCGAAGGCAGCUCGCUGGGACGUGACUGACGCUGAGGCACGAAGGCCAGGGGAGCAAACGGG